CACGUAGGCACCAAGCGUUGUCCGGAUUUAUUGGGCGUAAAGAGCUCGUAGGCGGUUCAGUAAGUCGGGUGUGAAAACUUUGGGCUUAACCCAAAGCGUGCAUCUGAUACUGCUGUGACUUGAGUUCGGUAGGGGAGUGGGGAAUUCCUAGUGUAGCGGUGAAAUGCGCAGAUAUUAGGAGGAACACCGGUGGCGAAGGCGCCACUCUGGGCCGAAACUGACGCUGAGGAGCGAAAGCAUGGGGAGCAAACAGG
rnacentral:rRNA from 1 species